rnacentral:rRNA from 1 species
AUUGAACGCUGGCGGCAUGCCUUACACAUGCAAGUCGAACGGUAACGGGCCUUCGGGUGCCGACGAGUGGCGAACGGGUGAGUAAUGUAUCGGAACGUACCUUUCAGUGGGGGAUAACGUAGCGAAAGUUACGCUAAUACCGCAUAUUCUGUGAGCAGGAAAGCAGGGGAUCGCAAGGCCUUGCGCUGAUUGAGCGGCCGAUAGCAGAUUAACUAGUUGGUGAGGUAAAGGCUCACCAAGGCGACGAUCUGUAGCGGGUCUGAGAGGAUGAUCCGCCACACUGGAACUGAGACACGGUCCAGACUCCUACGGGAGGCAGCAGUGGGGAAUUUUGGACAAUGGGGGCAACCCUGAUCCAGCCAUGCCGCGUGAGUGAAGAAGGCCUUCGGGUUGUAAAGCUCUUUCGGCCGGGAAGAAAUCGUAUGGGCUAAUACCCUGUGCGGAUGACGGUACCGGCAUAAGAAGCACCGGCUAACUACGUGCCAGCAGCAGCCGCAGUAA